rnacentral:rRNA from 1 species
GACGAACGCUGGCGGCGUGCCUAAUACAUGCAAGUAGAACGCACAGUUUAUACCGUAGCUUGCUACACCAUAGACUGUGAGUUGCGAACGGGUGAGUAACGCGUAGGUAACCUGCCUGGUAGCGGGGGAUAACUAUUGGAAACGAUAGCUAAUACCGCAUAAUAUUAAUUAUUGCAUGAUAAUUAAUUGAAAGGUGCAAUUGCACCACUACCAGAUGGACCUGCGUUGUAUUAGCUAGUAGGUGAGGUAACGGCUCACCUAGGCGACGAUACAUAGCCGACCUGAGAGGGUGAUCGGCCACACUGGGACUGAGACACGGCCCAGACUCCUACGGGAGGCAGCAGUAGGGAAUCUUCGGCAAUGGACGAAAGUCUGACCGAGCAACGCCGCGUGAGUGAAGAAGGUUUUCGGAUCGUAAAGCUCUGUUGUAAGAGAAGAACGGGUGUGAGAGUGGAAAGUUCACAAUGUGACGGUAUCUUACCAGAAAGGGACGGCUAACUACGUG